CUCCCUAUAGCUUAAUGGUAAAGCAAUCGGCUGUAGCCCGAUUGACGCCAGUUCGAUUCUGGCUGGGGAGA
rnacentral:tRNA from 1 species